GCCGUUUGUGUAUCCAUCUAAUCAGUUUCAUUUCUAUCAAUCGACCUUGCAUAUUAGAGAUUUGUUCAACAUAUUUUCAAUUAUUGAAUCAAUAUCAAAGGCUCAACAAUUGUGCUCAACUUCAUUCUACUUAAAAGCAACACUAUCUACACGAUUAAUUUCAUAUCUAUGAGCGUUGAAACGAAAAUUGAUAUAUGGUCCAGAAUCACAUGCAUGAUUGAUUGGAAAUCGUCAAAGAUAUCUUACAUUUCAACUUUUUUUCUUAGAUCAAUAUUUUAUUUCAAAGUUCCAACAUGAUUUUCAACGACCGUGAUUUCCUUGAUAAAGGAUAUUUGGAGGCAAAUGCUAAUUGAUAGUGUUAGUGUUGCUGGAAAUAUCUGCAAGGUCUAUCUCUUCCAUCUUGUAGAUAGACCUUUUGGAGUUUUAUGUCUUCAAAGUGGCAUAGAUGAAUCUUCCAAUAUCGCGUUCCAAUUUCCUACAAUGUAUUUACAGAUAGCGAUCCAUGAAGAAUCUAGCUCUGCUGACUUGCAUCAAUCUUAACAUUGAUUCCAUUGUUAUUAAGAGGAAUGUAACAAUGUCUAUAAAGGCAAUAUGACAUAAGGUUCUCUUAUGCUGGAACACUACAAUAUGAUUACAAAUGGAGAAUUUAUUAGUAUAUUGAGUUUUAAGUAACAUUUUAUGCCAUUGCUUAUUUUUUAACUAGCACACCAUCAUAUGUAAUUGACAUUUUGAUUAGUUAAUCAAUAUGUUUUGUUGGA